UCUGCCGUCAUCGACUUCAAGGUUCGACUCGAGCAAUAGUGAGAGAACGUUGCCGCAGGCAACGGCCCGAAGGGUGAGGAGCUUUAGCUCCGAAUAAUCCUUCCCGCUAUAGAA
rnacentral:sRNA from 2 species